GUCGCAUGCAUCGCGUUAAAGUACAGUCAUUCGUAUAUUUGUCGCGAUUUUUGUUCGCAGCGAAUUGAUUUCCAUGUAUGAUAAUAGGACAAUCAAGUGGAUAAUGAAUUGAAUCAGGCAAGGAACAAUGAAAAUAUACGAAUGUUAUUAAUCAGACUGAUUCCCGUGUAUAGUAAUGGGACAAUCAAGCAGAUGGUGGACUGAAUCAGGCGAGGAACAAUGAAGUACCAAUGAAAAUGUACGUGUGUUAUUAAUUAAACUGAUUCCUGUGUGUAUUAAUGGGACAGCCAAGCAGAUGAUGGACUGAAUC